rnacentral:lncRNA from 1 species
CCGAUGUGCCACGCCCCCUCCUGAUUCAACUCACCUGCCUCCGUCACGUUCCCAGUCCCCUGAUUGCCUAAUCAUGAACACCUGUCACUCCCUCCACCACUCUACUUAAACUCCUCACUCCCCUCCCCUCACUUAUUGCCUGGUCUCGUCGUGUGUGGACACAUCUUCCUGCUCCUUCCUCAAGCUCCGGACUAUUAGCGCCCUGUGUUUUGUUCCUGCUCUUUCGUAUCCGAAGGUUUAGCAGGGCAAUAUACCGUCCCAAAUCACUUGCUAGGUCUCCAGCUUCCGGGAGAGGACUGAAUGAGAGCAAAGGACAGGUAUUGGCCAAGGUGUCUCCUGAGGAGAAUCAUGGACGGAACGCCCUCACUUCGCGGCAGAUCGGAGACGGCAGAGAUGGAAGGAUUUUGGAGCCUCUUUCAAAGCGGGCGGGGGAGAAGUCUGGCCCUGAUAAGGCCGUCGUCGUUGUCUCGGAAACAAAGCUCGGAGAGAACCUGUUAAGCCAGCGCUGGAGCUCAUAUUAGAAUGCAAAUGAGCAUCUACGAACAGGGCAUAGUAUAUUAACACAAUAAUAGGGUGCAGGGGGCUGCAGAGGAGAUUAAUAUUAUAGGAAGAGUUCGAUUGUUUUAAAGACAGCAACAGUUAGAGACAUUAGUGCUGCAUGCAUGCUGGGAAAAUAGGUUUUAACCUCUGACCCGGUCUGUCUUGAGAAAAAUGAGGUUCCAUAGGAAAAGGCUGAAUUAUGUUUCAUAAUGUGGAAAUAUGGCAUCAUCUAUAGGUUGUUUGGACAACAUUCACUGUU